rnacentral:lncRNA from 1 species
UAAAAUACCAUGGCACGGGAUGCUGUCUGCUUGGCACGGUACGGUAGUCACACGCUUUCGUGCCGAUAUAUAAUACGUUUGCACGUCGAUAGAUACACAUGACCUCCUACUGUACAUUUUGAUACGAAUUUAUUUUAAUUUUUCGGAUCCCAAUAAAUUGUUAUAAUAUUAUUUUGAAAAAUUUAAUCAAAUAAUUAUAAAUAUUUGUUAUGUAUAGUUUAUUAUACUUAUCAAUAAAUAUAUUUGUAGGAUUUUUUUUAUAUAAAGUACAACUAUAUCUUAUACAAAAUAAAAAUUUUUACAUGUUAUAACUUUUGAAAUGUAAAAAUAUUUUGCUUUUUUUUUUUUUUGAAAUGUUACAAUCUUUUUUUAAUAAAAUACAAAAAUAAUUUUUAAAAUUAUUUAAAAAUUUUUUAAAAAUAUUUUUAAAAAAAAUUAAUUAAGUUUUUCGAAAAAAUUAUUAGAUCUUCAAAAAAUUAAGUAAUAAAUUAUAUGACAAAUAAAUUAAAUAAAUUUAAGUAUCAAUUGAUUUAAUUUAGUUUUUAGUUUUAUCAGUAUUUUUAAUUUUCUAACUUAAAAAUAAAAUUUUAUAUUUGAUAUGUCUCAAACUUUGUUUAUUGAGUUCAAUUUUGUUCAACUAAUUUGUCAAAAGUUUGGCGAUACCACAAAUUUUAAUAAAAUAAUUUGAUAAAUAAU